rnacentral:rRNA from 1 species
GUGGCAGCAGCCGCGGUAAUACAGAGGGUGCAAGCGUUAAUCGGAAUUACUGGGCGUAAAGCGAGCGUAGGUGGCUUGAUAAGUCAGAUGUGAAAUCCCCGGGCUUAACCUGGGAACUGCAUCUGAAACUGUUAGGCUAGAGUAGGUGAGAGGGAAGUAGAAUUUCAGGUGUAGCGGUGAAAUGCGUAGAGAUCUGAAGGAAUACCGAUGGCGAAGGCAGCUUCCUGGCAUCAUACUGACACUGAGGCUCGAAAGCGUGGGUAGCAAACAGGAUUAGAUACCCUGGUAGUCCACGCCGUAAACGAUGUCUACUAGUCGUUGGGUCCCUUGAGGACUUAGUGACGCAGCUAACGCAAUAAGUAGACCGCCUGGGGAGUACGGCCGCAAGGUUAAAACUCAAAUGAAUUGACGGGGGCCCGCACAAGCGGUGGAGCAUGUGGUUUAAUUCGAUGCAACGCGAAGAACCUUACCUGGUCUUGACAUACACAGAAUCUUGUAGAGAUACGAGAGUGCCUUCGGGAAUUGUGAUACAGGUGCUGCAUGGCUGUCGUCAGCUCGUGUCGUGAGAUGUUGGGUUAAGUCCCGCAACGAGCGCAACCCUUGUCCUUAGUUACCAGCACUUCGGGUGGGAACUCUAAGGAUACUGCCAGUGACAAACUGGAGGAAGGCGGGGACGACGUCAAGUCAUCAUGGCCCUUACGACCAGGGCUACACACGUGCUACAAUGGUAGGUACAGAGGGCAGCUACACAGCGAUGUGAUGCGAAUCUCAAAAAGCCUAUCGUAGUCCAGAUUGGAGUCUGCAACUCGACUCCAUGAAGUAGGAAUCGCUAGUAAUCGCGGAUCAGAAUGCCGCGGUGAAUACGUUCCCGGGCC